UACGGAGGGGGCAAGUGUUAUUCGGAAUGACUGGGCGUAAAGGGUACGUAGGCGGCCAACUAAGUUGAUGAUGAAAUCCCAAAAGUUAAUCUUGGCAACAUUUUCAAUACUGGUAGGCUUGAGUAAGAGAGAGGAUAGUGUAAUUUCCAAAGUAGGGAUAAAAUACAUAGAGAUUGGAAGGAGCACCAGAAGCGAAGGCGACUAUCUGGAUCUUAACUGACGCUGAGGUACUAAAGCGUAGGGAGCAAACGAG
rnacentral:rRNA from 1 species